CGGCAGCACGGGAGCAAUCCUGGUGGCGAGUGGCGAACGGGUGAGUAAUACAUCGGAACGUGUCCUGUAGUGGGGGAUAGCCCGGCGAAAGCCGGAUUAAUACCGCAUACGCUCUACGGAGGAAAGGGGGGGAUCUUAGGACCUCUCGCUACAGGGGCGGCCGAUGGCAGAUUAGCUAGUUGGUGGGGUAAAGGCCUACCAAGGCGACGAUCUGUAGCUGGUCUGAGAGGACGACCAGCCACACUGGGACUGAGACACGGCCCAGACUCCUACGGGAGGCAGCAGUGGGGAAUUUUGGACAAUGGGCGCAAGCCUGAUCCAGCAAUGCCGCGUGUGUGAAGAAGGCCUUCGGGUUGUAAAGCACUUUUGUCCGGAAAGAAAUCCUUUGAGCUAAUACCUCGGGGGGAUGACGGUACCGGAAGAAUAAGCACCGGCUAACUACGUGCCAGCAGCCGCGGUAAUACGUAGGGUGCAAGCGUUAAUCGGAAUUACUGGGCGUAAAGCGUGCGCAGGCGGUUCGCUAAGACAGAUGUGAAAUCCCCGGGCUUAACCUGGGAACUGCAUUUGUGACUGGCGGGCUAGAGUAUGGCAGAGGGGGGUAGAAUUCCACGUGUAGCAGUGAAAUGCGUAGAGAUGUGGAGGA
rnacentral:rRNA from 1 species